AACGUCUGUUGUUCUGUAAACAGUUGGAUCCGACGCCUCUAGGAGGUGCUUCUUCUCAACUCCUACUCAAUACGUCCACUACGUUCAGAGCGGUAACUUUUCACCUAGAUAUCCUACGAGACCCAUCCCCUUGCGCGGAUGGGCGGCAAGGCUGAAUUGAGAGGG
rnacentral:ribozyme from 1 species